CCUCAUCUUGCACCCCGAACUCUCAUCCUGCACCCUGUGACCUCAUCCAGUAAACCGGAGACAUUUCAAACCCCCGGCAGAUACACCCCAAGAUGACUGAGGAUACUGAGGCAGGGCAAUCAGGGUGGCUCUGGCUGUGCUGCUAUGGAUGCCUCUGACAUCCCUGGAUUUUGGGAUUUAGGAGAGAAACACCCCCAUGGCAGGUUGAUGUGUUUGUCCCAUCCUGCUGUGUUUAUCCACCCAAGGUACCCCAAGGAGCUCAAACCACAGGCAACCCUGGCUGUAUAAUUUAAUGAGAAUAAAUUAAAAAAAAACCCA